AGAGUUUGAUCAUGGCUCAGAUUGAACGCUGGCGGCAUGCGUAACACAUGCAAGUCGAACGGUGUUGGUGCUUGCACCAGACAUAGUGGCGGACGGGUGAGUAAUGCGUAGGAAUCUGUCUUAGAGAGGGGGACAACCCGAGGAAACUUGGGCUAAAACCGCAUAUUCUCGAGAGAGGAAAGCAGGGGACCGGAAACGGCCUUGUGCUCUAAGGUGAGCCUACGUCGGAUUAGCUAGUUGGUAGGGUAAAAGCCUACCAAGGCGAUGAUCUGUAGCUGGUCUGAGAGGACGGACAGCCACACUGGGACUGAGACACGGCCCAGACUCCUACGGGAGGCAGCAGUGGGGAAUAUUGGACAAUGGGGGGAACCCUGAUCCAGCGAUGCCGCGUGUGUGAAGAAGGCCUGCGGGUUGUAAAGCACUUUCAGUGGGAAAGAGAAGCGUCUUGUGAAUAAUGGGACGUGGAGACGUUACUCACAGAAGAAGCACCGGCUAACUCUGUG
rnacentral:rRNA from 1 species